UACGGAGGGACUAGCGUUGUUCGGAAUUACUGGGCGUAAAGCGCACGUAGGCGGAUUUGUAAGUCAGGGGUGAAAUCCCGGGGCUCAACCUCGGAACUGCCUUUGAUACUGCAAAUCUCGGGUCCGGAAGAGGUGAGUGGAAUUCCUAGUGUAGAGGUGAAUCGUAGAUAUUCGCAAGAACACCAGUGGCGAAGGCGGCUUACUGGUCCGGUUCUGACGCUGAGGCGGCGAAAGCAUGGGGAGCAAACAGG
rnacentral:rRNA from 1 species